CGGAUUGGUAUUCUGCCCAGGUGCGGUUGAAGCUCACGCUGCCGUCCUGGCGGCGCUGCAGGACGGUCCACCCUCCACCCUCCUGCUCCAUCUCGCAGUACACCGAGAAGCUACUAGUGCGGAGGUCAGGGGUCACCAGGUGAUAUUAUCAUCUCGCAGCUGGGAUUUAUUCGUGAAAUGAGCUGGCUGAGGUCACGAGUGCAUCAGAGACUAGAACAAACAUCUGACCAUCAGUCCGGGCUCUGCUGCCUGGGCGUCCUGGCAGACCACUUCAUCUCCAUCCACUUCGGGCAGAGGAGCCAGUGCCGUCGUUUGCGUCUGUUAUGUGCAUAAGUGUCCCAUUUCCAGCUGCACUGGAGUGAACCCAACAACUGUCGUAGUGCAGCGCCAGCCUCUUGUAACACCACACUCAGUCUGCCUGCCUGAAGGUAUAACCCUACCUGCGUUAUUCCACUGCCUCCCGGCUCGCAUGCCAAGAAUAAAUAAUUAUUCAGCUCUGUGAUGCAAUACCUGGCCUAAUCAUGUGAAUGGGCCCAAAUGUAAAGUCCCCUUCAUCCCUCUCUGUUAUGAAAAUGUGCCUACAGUCAUAUUCACAUGAUUUGGCUGUGUCCGGAUCUUUAAUUCUGCAGUAACGGAUGCAUUCCUUUGCCAUGUGUGAGAAUGUUUUUCAUCGAACACUAAUAGUGACUCCUAAAAGUGAAACAAUCAAAUGUCCCUCACAUCUGGGCUGAAUUUCCUACAGCUAGCCAACACCAGAUAACGUCAGGUCAAUUAGUUUUUUAAUCCAAAAUCCUGGAAUUCGUUAAGACAUUGUUUAAAACUUAUAUUUUAUAAUCCUCAUCCUGAUAAGGGAUAUGGAAAGCGGGCUUAACAUGGGAACAGCUUAUCUGCUGUUGUCACUGCCUGCCCACCAGGAGCGGACAUUUCUGAGACCCUGGCAUGCACAAAGAAUAAAGAGGUAUUUUUCCAUCGCAGGAGAGGUGCUUUUUCUUUUAAAAACGUGUGAAGCGUGUUUUGUAGUAAAGGUUCUACAGAGACGUAGCCGUUCGGUUUUCCAUCAUAACCUGAUGUUCAUACUGAAUAGAUUUGUGCUGCAUACUGUAAACGUCCCAGCUGCGCUUAAUAGAAACCAUGCAUCAUACACAGACAAUAGCCUAGAGAUAAACUUACAGAAAGGUGUGCCUCAACGCACCGCAGAAACCCCUUAUUUACUAAACCUUCUUCUUCUCAGCACCACUUCCACAGUCAUAUUUUUAGAGACUGCUAAACAUUAUGACAUUAGUCAGGUGUUACCAUAAAAUACUUCACUGCACGUAAAAGGCAAAGUAUGGCUGCCUGACAAUGUUAAAACAAUAAAACUGUUUAUUAUUCCAGCGUGCCAUGAGUAAGAGUGCAGAAAACCAAACUGUGAGAGCUGGUUGUUAUUUUCAGAAUUUGAUCUACUCCAAGUUUAAUGUUUAAAACAAUAAUAAAGUCAAUGAAGAUGCCAAUUGUGGGGAAAUAAAAAAUUAAGCCAUUUCCCUCCCAGUUACAAAAUGAUACCUCAAAUCUGUCCCUGAGUAUAGCAGUCAGGUAGCUGGACUUUCUGCCUCUGCUGAAGAUGCUGUAAAGAGUUAUCAUCUUUCCACUGCCUUGUGUGAUAGGAACCAGAAAUAAGCUCUAUGUACUGCAAACUUUCUUCUCUUCUCUGUGAAAACUGUUUAAAGAGCCAGUGUGCAAUCUAAUGAGCUAUUUUGGCCAAAAGAAAUAAACAAAUCUCAUUUUUGAGUAAGCGC